UACAUAGGGGGCGAGCGUUAUUCGGAAUUAUUGGGCGUAAAGGGCGCGUAGGCGGCCAUUCAAGUGACGGGUGAAAGCCCUCGGCUUAACCGAGGAACUGCCUGUCAGACUGGAUGGCUUGAAUCCAGGAGAGGUGAGUGGAAUUCCGAGUGUAGAGGUGAAAUUCGUAGAUAUUCGGAAGAACACCAGUGGCGAAGGCGGCUCACUGGACUGGUAUUGACGCUGAGGUGCGAAAGCGUGGGGAGCAAACAGG
rnacentral:rRNA from 1 species